rnacentral:rRNA from 1 species
UACGGAGGAUCCGAGCGUUAUCCGGAUUUAUUGGGUUUAAAGGGUGCGCAGGCGGGAGAUUAAGUCGGCGGUGAAAUUUUGCAGCUCAACUGUAAAAGUGCCUUCGAAACUGGUUUCCUUGAGUGUAGAUGAAGUAGGCGGAAUUUGUGGUGUAGCGGUGAAAUGCAUAGAUAUCACGAGGAACUCCGAUUGCGCAGGCAGCUUACUAAACUACUACUGACGCUCAGGCACGAAGGCGCGGGGAUCAAACAGGAUUAGAUACCCGGGUAGUCCCU